rnacentral:rRNA from 1 species
UGGGGAAUAUUGCACAAUGGGCGCAAGCCUGAUGCAGCCAUGCCGCGUGUGUGAAGAAUGCCUUCGGGUUGUAAAGCACUUUCAGCGGGGAGGAAGGCGAUAAGGUUAAUAACCUUGUCGAUUGACGUUACCCGCAGAAGAAGCACCGGCUAACUCCGUGCCAGCAGCCGCGGUAAUACGGAGGGUGCAAGCGUUAAUCGGAAUUACUGGGCGUAAAGCGCACGCAGGCGGUCUGUCAAGUCGGAUGUGAAAUCCCCGGGCUCAACCUGGGAACUGCAUUCGAAACUGGCAGGCUAGAGUCUUGUAGAGGAGAGUAGAAUUCCAGGUGUAGCGGUGAAAUGCGUAGAGAUCUGGAAGAAUACCGGUGGCGAAGGCGGCCCCCUGGACAAAGACUGACGCUCAGGUGCGAAAGCGUGGGUAGCAAACAGG